rnacentral:ncRNA from 1 species
GGGUACCGCUCCCUUUCAUUGCUCUGCAUCCGGUAUAGAUGCAGGGCCGAGA